CCUACGGGAGGCAGCAGUGAGGAAUAUUGGUCAAUGGACGAGAGUCUGAACCAGCCAAGUAGCGUGAAGGAUGACUGCCCUAUGGGUUGUAAACCUCUUUUAUAAAGGAAUAAAACGAGCCACGUGUGCCUUUUUGCAUGUACCUUAUGAAUAAGCAUCGGCUAACUCCGUGCCAGCAGCCGCGGUAAUACGGAGGAUCCGAGCGUUAUCCGGAUUUAUUGGGUUUAAAGGGAGCGUAGGUGGGUUGUUAAGUCAGUUGUGAAAGUUUGCGGCUCAACCGUAAAAUUGCAGUUGAUACUGGCUGUCUUGAGUACAGCUGAGGUAGGCGGAAUUCGUGGUGUAGCGGUGAAAUGCUUAGAUAUCACGAAGAACCCCGAUUGCGAAGGCAGCUUACUAAACUGUGACUGACAUUGAUGCUCGAAAGUGUGGGUAUCAAACAGGAUUAGAUACCCGAGUAGUC
rnacentral:rRNA from 1 species